GGGUUUAUUGGAGAACACGGACAAAGAUAGAAUUAAAAGGCUUGUACGCUUGAAAAAUCCUACUGAAUUCUGAACAUUUCUCAAGCAUCUCGCUUCUUUGAGUUUACAAAAGUAGAAAGGCGUAGAACAUUAGAGACUGAAGUGCUGUUAUGCAGGUGUUUCUUGAUGUUACUAAUGUUAACUCCCAACUAAUGUUUUAGUUCAUUUAUAGUUAUUGCGCUUUCUUAUUUCCAGUUCUGGUUGUAAAGUACUUCUAUGAUUACUUUGACUUAAAGGCUUGUUUGGGAUAGCUUCUGCUUCUAUUCUUUGUGAGGAAGCCACCUAACUUAGAAAGUUUUUAACCAGAUAAAUAACUUUUAGAAAAUUAGCCAAAACUAAAUAAACACAAGAUAAAAAGUUUGUGUUGCAGUAUAUAAAUAAGAUUUUAGCUUUUUUCAUUAAUAUUGUCUAGUUCACGGUACCAACUUGUAAAAGUGUUUGUGUUCACACUUUUAGGUACGAACUUGUUUAAGGUUCAAAUACUAUCUAGAUCAUGUACUCCUCACAUUGUUGUUGCUACCUCUAGGACCUAGGAUCAACCAAUGUAUCAAGGUUUUCUAUUUUUGGUUGAUGUAAGUAGUGAAAAUUUAAAGCUCAUUUGAUUAGAUGGUCAACCUUAGUAGCUUAUUUCAAGGUUCUUAGUUAAAAAAUUGCUACAUGUUUGUAUGCAUUACAUGUAUAUUUGAUGUAGAGUAUUCUACGACGUGAUAUUGUAAACAAUUUUUUUUGUUUUUCUUUUAAUUGUUGUUUUAUAUUGUACACUCCUUUCUACCCAGCGGUAUUCAAAGUUGGGUAUAAACGAUGUACAUUUACGCUUUUAUCCCUGGAUUAGUUGUAUUCCUUCGAGAAGAUGAAAAACGAUGGAGACAGGUAUCCAUUUACAGAGUUUGAGUAAUACAAGGACUAUUUUGGACAUUUUAUUUUUUUAUUAACACGACAUACACGUGAAGUUUUUUUUUUUUUAUUGCAAUAAAAGUACACCGUCUUAAUUAGAG
rnacentral:lncRNA from 1 species